rnacentral:rRNA from 1 species
AGAGCGAACGCUGGCGGCGUGCUUAACACAUGCAAGUCGAGUGCGCGCCUGUAGCAAUACAGGUGGCGCACGGCGCACGGGUGCGUAACACGUGGGCAAUCUGCCCUUCGAUGGGGAAUAACCCCGGGAAACCGGGGCUAAUUCCGCAUAAUAUUCCGAUGACUAACGUCAAUGGAUUCAAAGCCGUAAGGCGUCGAAGGAGGAGCCCGCGCACGAUUAGCUAGUUGGUGAGGUAACGGCUCACCAAGGCUAUGAUCGUUAGCUGGUCUGAGAGGAUGGCCAGCCACACUGGAACUGAGACACGGUCCAGACUCCUACGGGAGGCAGCAGUGGGGAAUCUUGCACAAUGGGCGAAAGCCUGAUGCAGCGACGCCGCGUGGGGGAUGAAGCUUUUCGGAGUGUAAACCCCUUUCGACCCGGACGAAUGCCCCGCAAGGGACUGACGGUACGGUAUAAGAAGCCCGGCUAACUACGCGCCAGCAGCCGCGGUAAU